UACGGGGGGGGCAAGCGUUGUUCGGAAUUACUGGGCGUAAAGGGCUCGUAGGUGGCCAACUAAGUCAGACGUGAAAUCCCUCGGCUUAACCGGGGAACUGCGUCUGAUACUGGAUGGCUUGAGUUUGGGAGAGGGACGCGGAAUUCCAGGUGUAGCGGUGGAAUGCGCAGAUAUCAGGAGGAACACCGGUGGCGAAGGCGGGGUCUCUGGGCAGUAACUGACGCUGAGGAGCGAAAGCGUGGGGGAGCGAACAGG
rnacentral:rRNA from 1 species